CAAUAGCGUAUAUUAAUGUUGCUGCAGUUAAAAAGCUCGUAGUUGGAUUUCGGGUGGGAAUGGCCGGUCCGCCGUUUCGGUGUGCACUUGCUACGCCCACCUUGCUGCCGGGGACGUGCUCUUGAGUUCACGCUCGGGACACGGAGUCGGCGAGGUUACUUUGAGUAAAUUAGAGUGUUCAAAGCAGGCCUACGCUCUGAAUACAUUAGCAUGGAAUAACACGAUAGGACUCUGGCCUAUCUUGUUGGUCUGUAGGACCGGAGUAAUGAUUAAGAGGGACAGUCGGGGGCAUUCGUAUUUCAUUGUCAGAGGUGAAAUUCUUGGAUUUAUGAAAGACGAACUACUGCGAAAGCAUUUGCCAAGGAUGUUUUCAUUAA
rnacentral:rRNA from 1 species